rnacentral:sRNA from 1 species
GGAUGUGAGGGCGAUCUGGCUGCGACAUCUGUCACCCCAUUGAUCGCCAGGGUUGAUUCGGCUGAUCUGGCUGGCUAGGCGGGUGUCCCCUUCCUCCCUCACCGCUCCAUGUGCGUCCCUCCCGAAGCUGCGCGCUCGGUCGAAGAGGACGACCAUCCCCGAUAGAGGAGGACCGUUCUUCGGUCAAGGGUAUACGAGUAGCUGCGCUCCCCUGCUAGAACCUCCAAACAAGCUCUCAAGAAUCUGACAAGACUCUCUUCCAAGCCCUUAAUUGUUUCAAUGACUUGGUUUGUGCUCAU